AUUGCCUCUAGAGGCAUUGUUUGUGUGGCUGCUGAGUCACAUGUGUGCUAAUAGGUGGCAGAAAGAAGAGAGGCUAUGUCUAUGAUGAGUAUUCUGACCUAUGGUCAUCUGAAUGAUUAAUAGCCUAACACU